CCGGGGCUCACCAAGCGUCUUAACGAAAGUAAUAACAUCACAAAAGAUACACCCACUGGGCGGAAAAGCUGACGCGACUUUCUGCAACGUAGAGAUAAACCUGAAGGGAAAUUCUGGUCACGCGCUUUGUUUUUGGAGGAACGGUUGUAACAACUUUGCCGUUUUGAUCCUGCCUAUGAAUGGACAUGCUGGUGGAAUUCUAUCUCCUCAUUGGUUUUGGUAUUCCCCAGGAAGAGCUGGAAUCUGUAACAAGAGACUGGGAAGUCUGUGCUGACCUGCUUGGCUUGCUGCUCCAAUUCUAUGAGGAAAAGAGAUUUCAGAAAAUGAGAUGAGAGGUUGUGACCAAUGCUCUGAAGAUCCCAGGCAAGAGAAUUGCUUUCUAGAGGAAACAAAUGCAAAUUUCCCUCUAGUACUCCAGCUUUGGUCCAAGAGGAUUAAUUGUGAAUUAAAAUCCUUUGUCAGAGUACCCAGCUGAAUCAGUGGGUGUGCGAUUUAAUUACGCAGUCAAAGUUACACCAUAUCGUGGAGAUUUGUUUACCAUGUAUCAGACUGAAAUUCUUAGUACAACAUUGUGAA